GAUGAACGCUGGCGGCGUGCCUAAUACAUACAAGUCGAGCGAACAGACGAGGAGCUUGCUCCUCUGAUGUUAGCGGCGGACGGGUGAGUAACACGUGGAUAACCUACCUAUAAGACUGGGAUAACUUCGGGAAACCGGAGCUAAUACCGGAUAACAUGUUGAACCGCAUGGUUCAACAGUGAAAGACGGUCUUGCUGUCACUUAUAGAUGGAUCCGCGCCGCAUUAGCUAGUUGGUAAGGUAACGGCUUACCAAGGCAACGAUGCGUAGCCGACCUGAGAGGGUGAUCGGCCACACUGGAACUGAGACACGGUCCAGACUCCUACGGGAGGCGGCAGUAGGGAAUCUUCCGCAAUGGGCGAAAGCCUGACGGAGCAACGCCGCGUGAGUGAAGAAGGUCUUCGGAUCGUAAAACUCUGUUAUUAGGGAAGAACAAAUGUGUAAGUAACUAUGCACGUCUUGACGGUACCUAAUCAGAAAGCCACGGCUAACUACGUG
rnacentral:rRNA from 1 species